UAACGGCGAGUGAAGCGGCAACAGCUCAAAUUUGAAAUCUGGCCCCUAGGGUCCGAGUUGUAAUUUGUAGAGGAUGCUUUUGGUGAGGUGCCGCCCGAGUUCCCUGGAACGGGACGCCGCAGAGGGUGAGAGCCCCGUCUGGCUGGCCACCGAGCCUAUGUAAAGCUCCUUCGACGAGUCGAGUAGUUUGGGAAUGCUGCUCAAAAUGGGAGGUAUAUGUCUUCUAAAGCUAAAUAUUGGCCAGAGACCGAUAGCGCACAAGUAGAGUGAUCGAAAGAUGAAAAGCACCUUGAAAAGAGGGUUAAACAGUACGUGAAAUUGUUGAAAGGGAAGCGCUUGUGACCAGACUUGGGCGCGGCGGAUCAUCCGGGGUUCUCCCCGGUGCACUUCGCCGCGUUCAGGCCAGCAUCAGUUCGGCGCGGGGGAAAAAGGCUUCGGGAACGUGGCUCCUCCGGGAGUGUUAUAGCCCGUUGCAUAAUACCCUGCGCUGGACUGAGGACCGCGCAUCUGCAAGGAUGCUGGCGUAAUGGUCACCAGCGACCCGUCUUGAAACACGGACCAAGGAGUCGUCUUCGUAUGCGAGUGUUCGGGUGUCAAACCCCUACGCGUAAUGAAAGUGAACGCAGGUGAGAGCUUCGGCGCAUCAUCGACCGAUCCUGAUGUUCUCGGAUGGAUUUGAGUAAGAGCAUACGGGGCCGGACCCGAAAGAAGGUGAACUAUGCCUGUAUAGGGUGAAGCCAGAGGAAACUCUGGUGGAGGCUCGCAGCGGUUCUGACGUGCAAAUCGAUCGUCAAAUAUGGGCAUGGGGGCGAAAGA
rnacentral:rRNA from 1 species